rnacentral:rRNA from 1 species
UACGUAGGUGGCAAGCGUUGUCCGGAUUUAUUGGGUUUAAAGGGUGCGUAGGCGGCCUUAUAAGUCAGUGCUGAAAUAUCCCGGCUUAACCGGGAGGGUGGCAUUGAUACUGUAGGGCUUGAGUAAAGUUGAGGUUGGCGGAAUUGACGGUGUAGCGGUGAAAUGCUUAGAUAUCGUCAAGAACACCGAUAGUGAAGACAGCUAACUAAGCUUUAACUGACGCUGAGGCACGAAAGUGUGGGGAUCAAACAGGAUUAGAUACCCCGUAGUCC